rnacentral:rRNA from 1 species
AUACGUAGGGUGCGAGCGUUGUCCGGAAUUACUGGGCGUAAAGAGCUCGUAGGUGGUUUGUCGCGUCGUCUGUGAAAUUCCGGGGCUUAACUCAGGGCGUGCAGGCGAUACGGGCAUAACUUGAGUACUGUAGGGGAGACUGGAAUUCCUGGCGUAGCGGUGAAAUGCGCAGAUAUCAGGAGGAACACCGGUGGCGAAGGCGGGUCUCUGGGCAGUAACUGACGCUGAGGAGCGAAAGCAUGGGUAGCGAACAGGAUUAGAUACCCUGGUAGUCCAUGCCGUAAACGGUGGGCGCUAGGUGUAGGGGUCUUCCACGACUUCUGUGCCGUAGCUAACGCAUUAAGCGCCCCGCCUGGGGAGUACGGCCGCAAGGCUAAAACUCAAAUGAAUUGACGGGG